rnacentral:rRNA from 1 species
UACGGAGGGUGCAAGCGUUAAUCGGAAUUACUGGGCGUAAAGCGCACGCAGGCGGUCUGUUAAGUCAGAUGUGAAAUCCCCGGGCUUAACCUGGGAACUGCAUUUGAAACUGGCAGGCUUGAGUCUCGUAGAGGGGGGUAGAAUUCCAGGUGUAGCGGUGAAAUGCGUAGAGAUCAGCAGGAACACCCGUGGCGAAGGCGGCCCCCUGGGCCGUACCUGACGCUGAGGCGCGAAGGCUAGGGGAGCAAACAGG